AUAGUGGCGAACGGGUGAGUAACGCGUGGGUAAUCUACCCCCAAGUUGGGAAUAACCUGUCGAAAGGCAGGUUAAUACCGAAUGUGAUUAUCGUUUCAUAAGAGGGGAUAAUUAAAGGGCUGUAAGGUUCGCUUAGGGAAGAGCCCGCGUCUGAUUAGCUUGUUGGUGGGGUAAUGGCCUACCAAGGCGAAGAUCAGUAGCUGGCCUGAGAGGGUGGUCAGCCACACUGGAACUGAGACACGGUCCAGACUCCUACGGGAGGCAGCAGUGGGGAAUCUUGCGCAAUGGGCGAAAGCCUGACGCAGCGACGCCGCGUGGGCGAUGAAGGCCUUCGGGUCGUAAAGCCCUUUUUGAGGGAACGAUAAUGACGGUACCCUCAGAAUAAGCCUCGGCUAACUCCGUGCCAGCAGCCGCGGUAAGACGGAUGAGGCAAGCGUUGUUCGGAUUUAUUGGGCGUAAAGCGUGUUCAGGCGGAAUGGCAAGUCAAAUAUGAAAUCCUAAAGCUUAACUUUAGAACUGUGUUUGAUACUGUUAUUCUUGAGUAUGAGAGGGGGGGACGGAAUUCCCGGUGGAGCGGUGAAAUGUGUAGAUAUCGGGAGGAACACCAGUGGCGUAAGCGGUCUUCCAGCUCAAUACUGACGCUUAUACACGAAAGCGUGGGGAGCAAACAGGAUUUAGAUACCCUGGUAGUCCACGCUGUAAACGAUGGACACUAAGGUGUAUGGGGUUUAAACCCUCUAUGUCGUAGCUAACGCGUUAAGUGUCCGCCUGGGGAAGUACGGCCGCAAGGUUGAACUUCAAGGAAUUGACGGGGACC
rnacentral:rRNA from 1 species